UACAAGGACGCAGCAGUGACUGGCUGA
rnacentral:piRNA from 1 species